rnacentral:rRNA from 1 species
CGGGGUGAGUAACGCGUGAGCAAUCUGCCCAUAUCUGGGGGAUAACAGUUAGAAAUGACUGCUAAUACCGCAUAUGACCACAGGGAGGCAUCUCCCAGGGGUGAAAGAUUUAUCGGAUAUGGAUGAGCUCGCGUCCCAUUAGGUAGUUGGUGAGGUAACGGCCCACCAAGCCGACGAUGGGUAGCCGGCCUUAGAGGGCGAUCGGCCACAUUGGAACUGAGAUACGGUCCAAACUCCUACGGAAGGCAGCAG